CAGGUAGGUGUUUUGGUAAGUGAGUAGUGAAAUCCUUCGGCUCAAUCGAAGAAAUGCUAUUCAUACUGCCAGAAUUGAGUAUGGGAGAGGAAAGCGGAACUCUCGGUGUAAGGGUGAAAUCUGUUGAGAUCGAGAGGAACACCAGUAGCGAAGGCGGUUUUCUGGACCAUAACUGACACUGAACUGCGAAAGCUAGGGGAGCAAACA
rnacentral:rRNA from 1 species